rfam:Homo sapiens chromosome 2, GRCh38 reference primary assembly.
GUCUGUAUCCACACCACCCUGAAUGCACCCGAUCUCAUCUGAUCUUGGAAGCUAAGGAGGGUUCGGCCUGAGUUAGUAUCUGAGUGGGAGAAACAGAAGAGAUGGAAAAGUCUUCUGUUUCAUAGU